AUGAAUUCUACUAUAAGAACGCCAAUUUUCUUAGUCUCCAGUCUUAGAUUAAAAGCAUGGAACCAUCAUAACCAUAACGCAAGCAAGCCAUAUGUACAUACCGAGUCGGAUAUUUAUACAGUUAUUUUAUCUAAAUCUGAAUAUGUUGCAAACUUUUUAAUUGUUGCCUAUUUUGUAUUUCUUCCAUUUUAUGUAUAUGUGAACAAAGUCAAUCGACGAAGAGAUGAAAAGAUGAUUAUUUUUCCGAUUACCAAUCAUUUUUAUAAAAUGGUAAUGAUCAGUGUGAUAUUUCUCAUUUUUUACACAGCGUUGUCUACUCUCGUUGAGCAUGGGAACUUGAAAGAGGGCAAUAAUUGGUUUUAUGAUACUCACGGUUUUUUACACAAUUUGUAUGAGCAUUCAAGUUUUCCAAUUAUUUAUAGUUGCUCUUGCCAUUGAACGAUUUCUCCUUUACUUCUGUCCAUCCACCGAAAAACUGAUCACAUUAGUACAAAACUAUGUUCAUCAACGAAUCAAAUGUAUUUAUAUUUCCUGUGCAAUCAAGGAUUUGGUCAUAUUUAUUCUGCCCUAUUCUUCUGAUCCAGAAGUGAAAAUGAUAACUUAUGCUAUGCAUUAUUCCAUGGAAAUUCUUAUUAUACUGUCUUCAUUGCUUUAUCUUCCGAUAAUGAUAAGUGUUCGAAAGCUGUCUCAUUUAGCAUCGGCAGAACAAAAUCAUCCUCAAAGAUACAUCUUUUGGCAGACAAUGGUAGUGUUGAUUUUCAAAUCGUUAACUCUCCCAGCAUCAGCUAUUGCACUGACAAAUGACGGAACUUUGACAGAAACUCAAAAUGCGCAAAUGAACAUUGAGAUUUUCACGAUUCCAUUGAUAAUUAUGUUGUCCUAUUUGGGGUGUAACAAACGGAACUUAACAGUUACAUUUACAUCAUUUAACUUGAAAUACUUUUUGAGAACCAUUUUUAGUUUUGACGAUGCAGUUGUUCAACCUCAAACUUUAGUUGGCAGUGUAUAUGCAGUAAGCUCUUGA
rnacentral:misc_RNA from 1 species